GACGUAGGGCGCGAGCGUUGUCCGGAUUUAUUGGGCGUAAAGAGCUCGUAGGCGGCUCGUUGCGUCGGCUGUGAAAACCCGCAGCUCAACUGUGGGCUUGCAGCUGAUACGGGCGGGCUGGGAUUCGGUAGGGGAGACUGGAAUUCCUGGUGUAGCGGUGAAAUGCGUAGAUAUCAGGAGGAACACCGGUGGCGAAGGCGGCCCUCUGGACGGAUACUGACGCUGAGACGCGACAGCGUGGGGAGCAAACAGG
rnacentral:rRNA from 1 species